UUUCCGUAGGUGAACCUGCGGAAGGAUCAUUACCGAGUGAGGGUCUCUCAGGCCCGACCUCCCACCCUGUGUUUUUGUGACCUUGUUGCUUUGGCGGGUCCGAGUCGAUGAGAGGCCGCCGGAAGCCCACCACUUUGGGCCUGUGUCUGUCACUUGUGCACUUAAAUUCUUAAUAAACCUGUCGUCCGAAACCAGAUCUAAUAAAAAAAACUUUCAACAACGGAUCUCUUGGUUCUG
rnacentral:misc_RNA from 1 species